rnacentral:rRNA from 1 species
UACGAAGGGGGCUAGCGUUGUUCGGAAUUACUGGGCGUAAAGCGCGUGUAGGCGGGUCUUUAAGUCAGGGGUGAAAUGCCAAGGCUCAACCUUGGAACUGCCUUUGAUACUGGAGACCUUGAGUCCGGGAGAGAUGAGUGGAAUUGCGAGUGUAGAGGUGAAAUUCGUAGAUAUUCGCAAGAACACCAGUGGCGAAGGCGGCGACCUGGGCCAAUAUUGACGCUGAGGUGCGAAAGCGUGGGGAGCAAACAGG